rnacentral:rRNA from 1 species
UCGCUAGUAAUCGCGCAUCAGCCAUGGCGCGGUGAAUACGUUCCCGGGCCUUGUACACACCGCCCGUCAAGCCAUGGGAGCCGGGGGUGCCUGAAGUUCGUUACCGCAAGGAUCGACCUAGGGCAAAACUGGUGACUGGGGCUAAGUCGUAACAAGGUAAC